AAUAAAUAAAUAAAUAAAAGUUGAGGAUUUCACAUUGAGAGAAUGUACAAGAAGAGCAAAGUAUGAUAAACUGAAUAAGAAAGGAAUAAUGAGACGAGUCAAAGCCAUCCUUGAGGUUAAUCACAUGGCCAGCAGGCAUGGUGGACCGAGGUGGGUAUCUAUGAGAGAAUCAACAUGAUGGCGGGUUAAUAUUUACAGAUAAAGACAUAAGAGGAAACACACAACAAAGAUGCCGUCAGGCGGGACGGAAUAGAAACUAAGCAAAUUAUAUUCACAAA
rnacentral:misc_RNA from 1 species